GGAAGGAACGAGAACAGAUUGAUUGUUUGUUCUACAUCUUUCGCCGCUGGGUCAUAUACCAAUUCUAACUCGGACAAAAAGGUUGUCCACUACGAGACGAGAGCACUCGUCCACCGUCGCGAUCUCGCCGCUUUCCGCCGGUUCGGCUGUUACGCUCGCCGCCGCUACUGCCGGGGAAUUGAACGUCCUAGUCGCCGUUCCUGCAGGAGGCAUCCUUCGGUUUGGAUGACUGGUGCUGAGC